rnacentral:antisense_RNA from 1 species
AAUUGACAUUAGUGAUUCAUUAGCAGAACCUUGGCCAACAGCUAAAUAAGCAUUCAUACCUAACUCUUUCAUCUGUUGUUUGCCCAAAACACUAGCAUUAAUAUGUUUAUUACUAUUAGCUAACUCAUGAGCUUUAGAGGCAAGAUAGGCUGAGUUACAGAUAUUAGGUGGCAUAUUAGCUAAAUCUUUAGC